rnacentral:rRNA from 2 species
GGCGGUGCGCCUUAUGCAUGCAAGUCGAGCGAAGCUUUUCAGUAGUUUACUACAGAAAAUGACUGAGCGGCGAACGGGUGAGUAACGCGUGAGCAACCUACCUUAGUUACUGGGAUAGCCCGAGGAAACUCGGAUUAAUACCGGAUAUUCUUAUUUAAUCACAUGAUUUUUUAAGGAAAGGUCAGCCGAACUAAGAUGGGCUCGCGUUCUAUCAGCUAGUUGGUAGCGUAAUGGCCUACCAAGGCUACGACGGAUAGCUGGUCUGAGAGGACGAUCAGCCACACUGGGACUGAGACACGGCCCAGACUCCUACGGGAGGCUGCAGCAGGGAAUAUUGCGCAAUGAGCGAAAGCUUGACGCAGCGACACCGCGUGUGGGAUGACGGAUCUAGGUUUGUAAACCACUUUCAGGAGGGAAGAAAAUGACGGUACCUCCACAAGAAGCCCCGGCCAACUACGUGCCAGCAGCCGCGGUAAUACGGGAGUGGCAAGCGUUAUCCGGAAUUAUUGGGCGUAAAGCGUCCGCAGGCGGCUUUUCAAGUCUGCUGUUAAAGCGUGGAGCUUAACUCCAUCAUGGCAGUGGAAACUGAAAGGCUUGAGUAUGGUAGGGGCAGAGGGAAUUCCCGGUGUAGCGGUGAAAUGCGUAGAUAUCGGGAAGAACACCAGUGGCGAAGGCGCUCUGCUGGGCCAUUACUGACGCUCAUGGACGAAAGCCAGGGGAGCGAAAGGGAUUAGAUACCCCUGUAGUCCUGGCCGUAAACGAUGAACACUAGGUGUCGGGGGAAUCGACCCCUUCGGUGUCGUAGCUAACGCGUUAAGUGUUCCGCCUGGGGAGUACGCACGCAAGUGUGAAACUCAAAGGAAUUGACGGGGGCCCGCACAAGCGGUGGAGUAUGUGGUUUAAUUCGAUGCAACGCGAAGAACCUUACCAGGGUUUGACAUCCUGCGAACCUCUUAGAAAUUUGAGGGUGCCUUCGGGAAUGCAGUGACAGGUGGUGCAUGGCUGUCGUCAGCUCGUGUCGUGAGAUGUUGGGUUAAGUCCCGCAACGAGCGCAACCCACGUUUUUAGUUGCCAGCAUUUAGUUGGGCACUCUAGAAAGACCGCCGGUGAUAAACCGGAGGAAGGUGUGGAUGACGUCAAGUCAUCAUGCCCCUUACACCCUGGGCUACACACGUACUACAAUGCUACGGACAAAGGGCAGCAAACUCGCGAGAGCUAGCAAAUCCCAUA